rnacentral:rRNA from 1 species
CCUACGGGUGGCAGCAGUAGGGAAUAUUGCUCAAUGGGGGAAACCCUGAAGCAGCAACGCCGCGUGGAGGAUGAAGUUUUUCGGAUUGUAAACUUCUUUUGUCAGAGAAGAUUAUGACGGUAUCUAACGAAUAAGCACUGGCUUACUCCGUGCCAGCAGCCGCGGUAAUACGGAGGGUGCAAGCGUUACUCGGUAUCACUGGGCGUAAAGAGUGCGUAGGCGGGGUAAUAAGUCAGAUGUGAAAUACGGUAGGUUAAAUACAGAACUGCAUUUGAAACUGUUACGCUAGAGUGUGGGAGAGGUAGGUGGAAUUAUAGGUGUAGGGGUAAAAUGCGUAGAGAUCAAGAGGAAUACUCAUGGCGAAGGCGACCUGCUGGGUCAUUACUGACGCUGAUGCACGAAAGCGUGGGGAGCAAACAGGAUUAGAUACCCGAGUAGUC